rnacentral:rRNA from 1 species
GACGAACGCUGGCGGCGUGCCUAAUACAUGCAAGUAGAACGCUGAAGAGAGGAGCUUGCUCUUCUUGGAUGAGUUGCGAACGGGUGAGUAACGCGUAGGUAACCUGCCUUGUAGCGGGGGAUAACUAUUGGAAACGAUAGCUAAUACCGCAUAACAAUGGAUGACACAUGUCAUUUAUUUGAAAGGGGCAAUUGCUCCACUACAAGAUGGACCUGCGUUGUAUUAGCUAGUAGGUGAGGUAAUGGCUCACCUAGGCGACGAUACAUAGCCGACCUGAGAGGGUGAUCGGCCACACUGGGACUGAGACACGGCCCAGACUCCUACGGGAGGCAGCAGUAGGGAAUCUUCGGCAAUGGGGGCAACCCUGACCGAGCAACGCCGCGUGAGUGAAGAAGGUUUUCGGAUCGUAAAGCUCUGUUGUAAGUCAAGAACGGGUGUGAGAGUGGAAAGUUCACACUGUGACGGUAGCUUACCAGAAAGGGACGGCUAACUACGUGCCAGCAGCCGCGGUAAUACAUAGGUCCCGAGCGUUGUCCGGAUUUAUUGGGCGUAAAGCGAGCGCAGGCGGUUUGAUAAGUCUGAAGUUAAAGGCUGUGGCUCAACCAUAGUUCGCUUUGGAAACUGUCAAACUUGAGUGCAGAAGGGGAGAGUGGAAUUCCAUGUGUAGCGGUGAAAUGCGUAGAUAUAUGGAGGAACACCGGUGGCGAAAGCGGCUCUCUGGUCUGUAACUGACGCUGAGGCUCGAAAGCGUGGGGAGCGAACAGGAUUAGAUACCCUGGUAGUCCACGCCGUAAACGAUGAGUGCUAGGUGUUGGAUCCUUUCCGGGAUUCAGUGCCGCAGCUAACGCAUUAAGCACCCCGCCUGGGGAGUACGACCGCAAGGUUGAAACUCAAAGGAAUUGACGGGGGCCCGCACAAGCGGUGGAGCAUGUGGUUUAAUUCGAAGCAACGCGAAGAACCUUACCAGGUCUUGACAUCCCGAUGCUAUUUCUAGAGAUAGAAAGUUACUUCGGUACAUCGGUGACAGGUGGUGCAUGGUUGUCGUCAGCUCGUGUCGUGAGAUGUUGGGUUAAGUCCCGCAACGAGCGCAACCCCUAUUGUUAGUUGCCAUCAUUCAGUUGGGCACUCUAGCGAGACUGCCGGUAAUAAACCGGAGGAAGGUGGGGAUGACGUCAAAUCAUCAUGCCCCUUAUGACCUGGGCUACACACGUGCUACAAUGGUUGGUACAACGAGUUGCGAGUCGGUGACGGCGAGCUAAUCUCUUAAAGCCAAUCUCAGUUCAGAUUGUAGGCUGCAACUCGCCUACAUGAAGUCGGAAUCGCUAGUAAUCGCGGAUCAGCACGCCGCGGUGAAUACGUUCCCGGGCCU